rnacentral:misc_RNA from 1 species
GAUGAAGAACGCAGCGAAAUGCGAUACUUGGUGUGAAUUGCAGAAUCCCGUGAACCAUCGAGUCUUUGAACGCAAGUUGCGCCCGAAGCCAUUAGGCCGAGGGCACGCCUGCCUGGGCGUCACACGUCGUUGCCCCCCCAUCUACUCCUUCGGGAUUGCGGGGGGCGGAUGAUGGCCUCCCGUGCGCCUCGCCGCGCGGUUGGCAUAAAUGCCAAGUCCUCGGCGACGCACGCCACGACAAUCGGUGGUUGCGAAACCUCGGUUGCCCGUCGUGUGCGGUCGUCGCGCAUCGAGGGCUCGAAAAAAUUGCCGGGUUCCGGCUCGGCUUUCAACGCGACCCCAGGUCAGGCGGGGUUACCCGCUGAAUUUAAGCAUAUCAAUAAGCAGAGGA